rnacentral:sRNA from 1 species
UAGCAUUUAAAUACCUAUCAGUGCCAGC